GAUGAACGCUGGCGGCGUGCCUAAUACAUGCAAGUCGAGCGAACAGACGAGGAGCUUGCUCCUCUGACGUUAGCGGCGGACGGGUGAGUAACACGUGGAUAACCUACCUAUAAGACUGGGAUAACUUCGGGAAACCGGAGCUAAUACCGGAUAAUAUAUUGAACCGCAUGGUUCAAUAGUGAAAGACGGUUUUGCUGUCACUUAUAGAUGGAUCCGCGCCGCAUUAGCUAGUUGGCAAGGCAAAGGCUUACCAAGGCAACGAUGCGUAGCCGGCCUGAGAGGGGGAUCGGCCGCACUGGAACGGAGACACGGUCCAGACUCCUACGGCAGGCAGCAGUAGGGAAUCUUCCGAGAUGGGCGAAAGCCUGACGGAGAAACGCCGCGUGAGUGAUGAAGUUCUUCGGGUCGUAAAACUCUGUGAUUAGGGAAGAACAAAUGUGGAAGUAACUGUGCACGUCUAGACGGUACCUAAGCUAAAAGCCACGGCUAACUACGUG
rnacentral:rRNA from 1 species